GUAGGUGAACCUGCGGAAGGAUCAUUAACACGUAUCCACGUUCAACACCCUCUGUGCACCUUUGCGUACCCACUGUAGUAGAGGGAGAGUGCAAACUUUCUCUUCUACCUAGAGUGGUUGUUGGAACCUGGGCUGAUGACAGAAGUAGUAUAGCUGCGGGGACUUCAAAAUCCUCGUGCUGUGCCUGCUGCACAUUGACCUGGGUGUGGGCUGGAGUUGUGAGCUAGCCUUACUUCUCUUGUCUCACGAUCUAUUUUUUAACCACUUUUAACCCCAACAUUGUCUAAGUAACUGCGACGCUCUCGAGCGCAGCAGAUACGCAAAAAACUGAACAACUGUUAGCAAUGGAUAUCUUGGUUCUC
rnacentral:misc_RNA from 1 species